GCUUGUCUCAAAGAUUAAGCCAUGCAUGUCUAAGUAUAAGCCUUUAUAUGGUGAGACUGCGAAUGGCUCAUUAAAUCAGAAACUGUUUAUUUGAUAGUGCCUACUACAUGGAUACCUGUAGUAAUUCUAGAGCUAAUACAUGCAAAAAGCCUGGACUUCUGGAACAGGCGUAUUUAUUAGAUAUACAAACCAACCGAGCUUGCUCGUCUCUUGGUGAAUCAUGAUAACUUCACGAAUCGCAUGGCCUCGCGCCGGCGAUAUUUCAUUCAAAUUUCUGCCCUAUCAAUUGGCGAUGGUAGGAUAGAGGCCUACCAUGGUGUUAACGGGUGACGGGGGAUUAGGGUUCGAUUCCGGAGAGGCAGCCUGAGAAACGGCUACCACAUCCAAGGAAGGCAGCAGG
rnacentral:rRNA from 1 species